rnacentral:lncRNA from 1 species
UGGAAACAAGAUUUUAACAUUAAAAAGUAAAUAGUGAAAUUAACAAAACAAAAUUAAACUCCAACCAUAAAUCUCAACACAAUAAUCUUGCCCAUGUUAUAGAAAUGAUGAAAAGGAAAAUAUUUCAUACAAUACAUCACAAAUGGAAGAAAAUAAUGGAGUAAAUUCAAGAUAAAAGUGAAACCCCCAUUUUUGGUUGGAAUCUUCAAGAUUGCCAUAGAUUAAACUUGAGUCCCCAAAUAUUUCUCCACCUUCCUUGAUGUAUUCUCC